UACGUAGGGUGCGAGCGUUGUCCGGAAUUAUUGGGCGUAAAGGGCUCGUAGGCGGUUUGUCACGUCGGGAGUGAAAACUCGGGGCUUAACCCCGAGCCUGCUUCCGAUACGGGCUGACUAGAGGUAUGCAGGGGAGAACGGAAUUCCUGGUGUAGCGGUGGAAUGCGCAGAUAUCAGGAGGAACACCGGUGGCGAAGGCGGUCUGCUGGGCAGUUUCUGACACUGAGGCGCGACAGCGUGGGGGAGCAAACAGG
rnacentral:rRNA from 1 species